ensembl:lncRNA
GGCAGGUAGCCUAGUGGUUAGAGUGUAGGGGCGGCAGGUAGCCUAGUGGUUAGAGUGUAGGGGCGGCAGGUAGCCUAGUGGUUAGAGUGUAGGGGAGGCAGGUAGCCUAGUGGUUAGAGUGUAGGGGAGGCAGGUAGCCUAGUGGUUAGAGUGUAGGGGGAGGCAGGUAGCCUAGUGGUUAGAGUGUAGGGGAGGCAGGUAGCCUAGUGGUUAGAGUGUAGGGGAGGCAGGUAGCCUAGUGGUUAGAGUGUAGGGGAGGCGGUAGCCUAGUGGUUAGAGUGUAGGGGCGGCAGGUAGCCUAGUGGUUAGAGUGUAGGGGAGGCAGGUAGCCUAGUGGUUAGAGUGUAG